AAAUUCAUCUCUUCCGCGUACAGUCGAAGCUUUCAAAAUGGGCAGAAUAAUAAUUAACGCAGUUUUCUUACUAACAGUUUUUAAAAUGUUUUUGGUGGCCACAGCUAUUGGUGAGAAGACAUGUGAAUCCGACAGACAAUUGGAAAAAAUGUGCGGGAUUCAUAACUAUAAAACUGUGAAACCUUUGCUUGAUUAUUUUAGGCAAGUUCAAAAUGAGUUAGAAAACAAAGUAAUUAAGGAAAAUAAGUUAAAUGAAUUAAAUUCUGAUCUUAUGGGAAAGUAUCACGAAAUUGUAAAAAUUCAUGAAAAAUUCAUGAAGGAGGCAGCUCUAUUAGAUGAGUAUAAAAACAAAGUACUUAAAGGGGAACACGAUUUGCAAUCGUGUCAAAAUAAACUUGAAAAAUUAGAAAUUGAGACUAAUUCACAACAAAAUAUUAUUCUUAAAUUAGAAGGACAAUUAUCAGAUAAAUCAACCAACUUAAAAAUUUGUCAAGAUGAAUUAAAAUCUCUCAAUUCUAGGUUAAUUGCGAAAGAUGAAAAUAUAAAGAGAUUUAGUGAGAAUAUUCAAAACAACACAGAGCAUCAGAAAACACUUGAGUUGAAAUUAGAGAAAAGUAAAUCUGAAUUAAUAAAGCAAGAUAAAGAUAUUCAGUUAUGCCAAUCAGAAAUUGCUUCAUUGAGCAGAACAUCAAAUAAUAUUAGAGAACAGAAGGAAAGAAUUGAAUCGCAAUUAAAAGAUAAUCAAAGUAAGCUAAUUGAUAAAGAAAAUCAGUUACGUCAAUCUGAAAAAUUAAGUCCCACAACUUGCAUCCCUUUUGGAGAAAAUUCAGGAGUUCAUCGACUCAAUGUUUCUGGUGUAGGUUUAUUCGAUGUUUUGUGCGAUAGUCAGUUAGCUGAACCUGGAUGAAUUGUAAUACAACAACGAGUUGGGGGAAAUGAGAGCUUCAAUUGGGAUUGGGCAACGUAUCGCAAAGGUUUCGGUGCAAUGGAUAGUGACUUCUUCCUUGGACUAGAGAAAAUACAUCGUAUCACAAGUUUGGAGCGUCACGAACUUUAUAUACAUUUGGUUGAUGUGAAUGGAUUUACCUACAACGCUCGACUUCAAAAUAUCUGAUGAGGACAAUGGAUACGCAUUGAAUUUUGGGUAAAUUCAAUGGAACUAUUAUUUGGGAUGCGAUGAGAGCCAGCGAAAACAAGAAAUUCACAACAUUCGAUCGCGACAACGACAUGGCAGAUGGUAAUUGCGCAGAUACAUACAAUGGCUGGUGGCACACGGAUUGUUAUUAUUGUAAUUUAAAUGCACCAUAUGGGCCGGAUCUUCAUUGGUACUUUCAAAAUAAAUUGAAAGAAACUAAGAUGCUAAUUCGCCCCAUUAAAGCGAUGAAGAAGUGAUGAACUGAAGAGCUGAAAUUCCGAUAUUUGACUCAAUUAUGUAAACAUUAUAUAAUUGGUGCAUUACUAUUAAUUAAGACGGACAUGGCUAGAUCGUCUCGGCUGUUAACGCUGAUAAAUAAUACAUAUAUAACACUUUAUAGGGUCGGAGAUGCCUCUUUCUACCUGUUACAUACAUUUUCUGCCGGCACAAAGUUAUAAUACCUAUUGGUAGCGGGUAUUCACUUAAGUGAAUAAAAGCAAAACUGUGAGGUAAUAUUUCAAAAUAUACCAAAUUAAUAUACCACAAAAAACUUAAAAUAUACCAACGGCAAUGAAUUAUGUGAAUUAAAUUAAAACAUACGUAUACGUAACAUAACACAAAAAUACAAUUGGUUGCGAAUAAAAUUACAUUAAAGUA